rnacentral:rRNA from 1 species
UAGGGAAUCUUGCGCAAUGGGCGAAAGCCUGACGCAGCCAUGCCGCGUGAAUGAUGAAGGUCUUAGGAUUGUAAAAUUCUUUCACCGGGGAAGAUAAUGACGGUACCCGGAGAAGAAGCCCCGGCCAACUUCGUGCCAGCAGCCGCGGUAAUACGAAGGGGGCUAGCGUUGCUCGGAAUUACUGGGGCGUAAAGGGCGCGUAGGCGGAUAUCUAAGUUGGGGGUGAAAGCCCGGGGCUCAACCUCGGAAUAGCCUUCAAUACUGGAUAUCUUGAGUUCGGGAGAGGUGAGUGGAAUGCCGAGUGUAGAGGUGAAAUUCGUAGAUAUUCGGCGGAACACCAGUGGCGAAGGCGACUCACUGGCCCGAUACUGACGCUGAGGCGCGAAAGCGUGGGGAGCAAACAGGAUUAGAUACCCUGGUAGUCCGCGCCGUAAACGAUGAGUGCUAGUUGUCGGCAUGCAUGCAUGUCGGUGACGCAGCUAACGCAUUAAGCACUCCG